rnacentral:tRNA from 1 species
GCCUGUGUGGCUCAGUCAGUUAAGCAUCUGACUUUGGCUCAGGUCACGACCUCGUGGUUUGUGAUUUCAAGCCUCACCUCAGGCU